AACUUUCCAAAUCUGGGGAAGGAAAUAGAUAUCCAGACUCAUGGAGCCCAUAGGACCCCAAAUAGAUUGAACAUAAAGAGGUCCACACCAAGAAACACUAGACUUAAACUCAAAAGUCAAAGACAAAGGGAGACUUUUGAGAGGAGCAAGAAAAAGUGACCCAUCAAAUACAAGGGAGCCCCCAUAUGACUGUCAGUGGAUUUCUUUUUUUUAUUAUUUUUUUUAAUGUUUAUUUUUGAGAGAGACAAGAGUGUGACUGGGGGCGGGGCAGAGAGAGAGGGAGACACAGAAUCUGAAGCAGGCUCCAGGCUCUGAGCUGUCAGCACGGAGCUCAACACAGGGCUUGAACCCCUGAACCGCGAGAUCUUGACCUGAGCCAAGGUUGGAUGCUUAGCCACCUGAGCCACCCAGGUGCCCCUCAGUGAAUUUCUUAAUAAAAACCUUACAGGCCAGGAAAGAGUGGGAUAUUAUAAUUCAAAGUACUAAAAGACAAAACUUCCAAUCAAGGGUGUUGUACCCAGCAAAGUUUUAAAGUAAAGAGGAAAUAAAGUCUUUUCCAUACAAAUAAAAACUGAAGACAGUUUACCACCCCUGGGCCUACUUUGCAAGAAAUCCUUAAGGGAGUUCUUCAGGGGGAAUUAGAACAUGCUAAUCAGCAAUAUUAAAAUGUACUAAAGUAUAAGUUUCACUAGGAAAGGUAAAUAUAUAGGCAAAUGCAGAAUAACAUAACACUCCAAUGAUGGUGUGCAAAUUAUCUGUAACUAAUAUAAAGUUAAAAGUAUUAAGAACAACUGUAAUGACAAAAGUUGAAUAACAGAUUCACAGUAUUAAAAGAAGUAAACUCUGACUUCAAGAACACAUAGUUUGUGAGGGGUAAAAUAAAGUUUUUGUAUGCAGUUGAACUUAAAUUGUUAUCAAAUUAAAAUAGAUAGUCAUAGGGGCGCCUGGCUUUAUAUGAACCUCAUGGUAACCACAAAGGAAAAACUUAUGGUAGGUGGGUAAAAGAGAAAGGAAUCAAACCAAAUCACUACAGAAAAAAUUAUAAAAGACGACAGAAGGAAGGGAAUAAAAGUAACUGCAAAACAGAAAAACAUUAACAAAAUGGAGAUAGUCAAGUCUUUAUCAAUAAUUAUUUGAAGUAUAAAUGAAUUAAAUUCCCCAAUGAAAAGAGAGUGACUGACUGAAUUUUUUUAAAAGAAAGAAAAUUUUAAAAACUAAAUCUAGUGAUAAGCUGACUACAAGAUACUCACUUUAGGUAUAAAAACACAUAGGCUGAAAGUAAAGGGACAGAAAAGGAUAUUCUAUGUAAACAGUAACCUAAAACACACCAGAGUUGGCAGUAUGUAUAUCAGACAAAACAGACUAUAAGUCAGAAAUUUUCACUAGAGGCAAAGAAGGUCAUUAUAUAAUGAUAAAGGGAAGGUAUAGCAGAUAGAUACACUUCCAACAUCAGCACCCCUAAAUAUAUAAAAACAGAUAUUGACAGAUCUGAAGGGAAAAAUUGAUAGCAAUAGAAUAAUAGUAGAGGACUUCAGUAUUGCACUUUCAAUAAUGAAAGAAUAUCCAGGCAGAAAAUCAGUAAGGAACAACUGACUAAAACAACACUAUAGCCCAAAUGAAUCUAACAGACAUACACAAAACUUUCCACCAAAUAGUAGCAGAGUAUACAUUCUUCUCAAGUGCUCAAGGAACAUUCUCCAGGAUAGAUCACAUGUUAGGUACAAAACACAUCUUAACAAAUUAAAGAAAAAUGAAAUCAUAUCUUCUCAGACACACAGUGGAAUGAAUCUAGAAGUCAAUAACAGAAAAUAGAAAAAUUCACAAUUAGAAACUGAACAUACUCUUGAACAACCAUUGAGUGAAAGAAAAAAAUAUAAAGGGAAUUUUAAAGCUAACUUGAGACAAAAAAGAAAGUGAAAAUACGAUUUAACAAAACCUGGGAUGCAACAAAAGCAAUACUAAGAGGGAAGUUUAUAGCAAAAAAUGCCCACGAUUAAAAAAGAAGAAAGAUCCCAAACAACCUAUCAUUACGUACAACUCAAGGAACUAAAGAAAAAACUGCACCCAAAAUUAGCAAAGAAAUGAAAUAAAUAUUAGAGCAGAAAUAGAGGAUAGAAAAACACUACAAUUUCAGCAAAACUGGGGCGCCUGGGUUACUCAGUAGGUUGAACAUCCAACACUUGAUUUCAGCUCAGGUCAUGAUCCCAGGAUCCUAGAAUUGAGUCUGCUUUGGGCUCUGCCCUGAGCUGGAGCCUGCUUAAGACUCUCUCUCUCUCUGCCCCUUUCCCCAAAUCUUGCUCACUCUCUCCUGAAAAAAGAAUCAACAAAACUAAGAAUUGGUUUUUUGAAAAGAUAAACAAAGUUGACACACCUGUCGUUUAGGAGAGAGAAGACUCAAACUCAAAAGUGAAAGAGGAGACAUUACAGCAAAUGACACAGAAACAAAAAGGAUCAUAAGAGCCCAUUAAGACAAUUACAUGACAACCUAAAAUAAAUCAAUAAAUUCCUAAAGACUACAGCCUACCAAGACUGAAUCAAGAAGAAAUGGAAAGUCUGCCUAGACCUAUAACAAAGAGAUUAAAUAAGUAAUAAAAAACCUUUCCACAAAGAAAGGCCCAGGACCAGAUGACUUCAUUGGGGGAAUUCUAACAGACAUUCAAAGAUGAACUAAUAUCAAUCCUUCUUCAGCUCUUCCAAAAAAAUAAAGUAGAUGGAAUACUUUUAAACUCAUUUUGAGAGUAACUUUACCCUUAUUCCAAAGCCAGAGACAACACAAGAAAAGAAAACUGCAGGUUAAUAUCUCUGAUGAACAUAGAUGCAAAAAUCCUCAAUAAAAUACUAGUAGCAACCUGUUAAAAGGAUCAUACAGCAUAACCAAGUGGGAUUUACCCUUAGGAUGCAAGGAUGAUUCAACCUAUGAAAAUCAAUCAGUGUAGUACCCUACAUUAAUAGAAUGGAAGUCAGAAAAACCACGUGAUAAUCUCAAUAGAUGUAGAAAAAGCAUUCAUAUCUUUUUUAUAAAUGUCUCAACAAAAUAGACACAAAAGGAACAUACUUAAAUACGAUAAAGACCACAUAUGAGAACUACGCCUCUGACAUCAUAAUCAGAAAAAAUUGGGAAGCUUUUUACUCUAAGAUUCAGAAGAAGGUAAGGAUGCCCUCUCUCACCACAACCAGCAACAUAGUGUUAAAAAUCCUAUGGGAAUGCACACUGGAACAAUCAUUAUGGAAAACUAUGGAGGUUCCUCAAAGAAUUAGAAUUAGGGCAGUUUAAUGGCCCAGCAAUCCCACUUCUGGGUAUAUAUCCAAAGGAAAUAAAAUAAGGACUUUCAAGAGAUAUCAUACUCCCGUGGUCAGGACUAUUCACAAUAGCCAAAAUACGGAAACAACCUGAGCACCCAUCAGUGGAUAAAUAGAUAAAGAAGAUGUGAUAUGCAUGUGCAUGCACGCGCGCACACACACACACGUGCACACAGUUGAAUAUUAUUCAGCCAUAAAAGAGAAGGAAAUUCUGCCAUUUGUGAUAACAUGGAUGGACCUUGAAAGCAUUAUGCCAAGUGAAAUGAGUCAGAAGAAGAAAAAUACUGUAUGAUUUCACUUAUACGUGGAAUCUAAAAAAUUAGAACUCAUAGAAACAGUCAGUGGAAAAGUGGUUGGCAGGAGCUGAGGGAUGGGGGAAAUGGGCAGAUAUUGGUCAGAAGGUACAAACCUCCAGUUAUAUGAUUAAGUUCUGGGGAGCUAAGAGACAGCAUGGUGACUAUAGUUAACAAUACGGCAUUAUAUAAAGUUGCUAUGAGAGUAAAUCUUAAAUACCCUCCCCCACAAAAAAGAAAUGGUGAUUUUGUGAGUUGCUAGAAAUGUUAACUAUACUGUGGUAAUCAUUUUGCAGUAUACAAGUGUAUCAAAUCCAGCACGCUGUGUACCUUAAACUUCCACAAUGGUAUAUGUCAAUUUUAUCUUAAUAAACCUGAAAUUUAAAAAAUCCUAACCGCAUACAUUAGAAUUUUUUUUAGAAAAAAAUUACUGGUGCCUUGGUGGCUCAUUCGGUUAAGCGUCGUACUUUGGCUCAUGUCAGGAUCUCACAGCUUGUGAAUUCGAGCCCCGCGUCAGGCUGUGUGUUGACAGCUUAGAUCCUGGAGCCUACUUAGGAUUCUGUCUGUCUGUCUGUCUCUCUCUCUCUCUCUCUCUGCAUCUCUCCCUCUCUCUCUCUCUCUCUCUCUCUCUCUCUCUCUGUCUGCCUGUCUCUCAAAAAUAAAUAAACAUUAAAAAAAAAACGCUAGCCAGCAUAAUCAAGCAAGGAAGAGAAAUAAAAGGCAUUCAAACAAGAAGGGAAGAAGUAAAAUUAUUUCUCUUUGCAGAUGAAAUGAUUUAGAAAACACUAAAGACCACACACACACACACACACACACACACACACACACACACACACACAAAGAAAGCCACUAGAACUACUAAUUUAGCUAAGUUUCAGGAUGUAAAAUCAACAUACAAAAGUCAAUUGCAUUUCUAUACACUAACAAGGAAUUACCUGAAAAAGAAAUUACGAGAACAAUCCCAUCCACAUAAGCUGGGCAAAGAAUAACAUACUUAGUAAUUAACCAAAGAGACAAAGACUUGUACAUUGAAAAUUAUAAAGCAUUGAUGAAGGAAAUUAAAAGACAACAACAAAUGGAAAUACAUCCUACAUUCAUGGAUUGGAAAAAUUAAUAUUGUUAACGUUCAUGCUACCCAAGUUGGUCAACAAAUUCAAUCCUAUCAAAAUACCAAAGACAUUUUUUAUGGAAACAAAAAACAAUCCUAAAAUUUGAAUGGAACCAUGACCCCAAAUAUUCAAAUGAAUCUUGAGCAAGGAAAACAAAGCUAGUGUCAUCACAAUUCCUGAUUUCAAAUGACAUUACAAAGUUAUAGUAAUCAGUACUGGCAUUAAAACAGAUAUACA